AUUUCCUUACUUAAAUAGAGAUAAUCGUCAUUCCACGACAUUUUCAUUUCUCGUUCUAUUUCUUCACCUCUCUUCCCAGAUGAAUUUCCGAAAACUGAAACUAAAUCAUCAAAAACUGAAGAAACAUAUUAAAAUCUCCAAAAAUCAAACCUAAAACCAAUUUAUUGUCUACUAUUACAACUUCUCUUUACUACAACAAGAUUCAAAAGAUCAAAAGAAAGUCAGAAAUUAGGGUUUGUGAUCGAAAUCAGUUUAAUGUUUAACUGUAAUCUUCGUAUUUAAAAGAUGACAGAAUUUUUUUUGGAAAAAGCUUCACCAAAGAAUUUAGGGGUUCUUUAUAACAAUGGUUGUUUCCAACAUUAUGAAUUAUUGAUUUGGUUGCGAAGCAAAUCAAAGAUGAAAUCAAAAUGAAGUAUUGAAGAUGAAGGAUGCAAUUGGUUUGUACCAGGGUUACUGUUAAUCUAGUCGGAGAUAAAAAGGAUUCUACAACGUAUUUGCGCAACAAGAAGAAGGCUUGUGAAGCAGUUGGGAUUACACAAGUAUAUUACUGAUUACAAUGAGAAUCCCAAAGUUGAUGGUAUCUGCCUCUACCUCGUGAGCAAUCAUUAAUUCCAAUUGACAUUGAGUCACAAAAGAUUGCUUCAUGCUAGAGCUGUCAACGGGGCAAGCUAGGGUCAACCCGGACCUAGCUUGCCAAGCCACAGACGGGUUAGGGUCAGCCCUAGGCCUAGUACUGUUCAUGUACAAGCCCAAUAUCCCAACCCUAGCCCUAGACGGGUUGGCUCUGACGGGUCGUGGGUUGGCUUGUUUUUUUCCUUCUAAUUUCUAACAUACCACAAAAAAAGUAGUCUGGAAAGCUUAGAACACUUGACAUCGUGGUUGUGAAGUUAUCAUUUGUCCACCAAGCUAGGUUAACUUGCGUGUCAGGUGCUACUAGUUAUUGUAUAAGUAUAAAAGAUAAAACAUCCCAUGUAUUUAGGUUAGUUAGUCAACUGACGUAACACUUUAUAUUAUCUUCCACGUUUCCUCUUCCGACGCCGUCUCUCUCCAUCUCCAUCUCAAUUUGUUUUUUCUUUUUCUCUGUAAAACCAUGGGGAUGAUAAGAUACAGAGAUAACUCAUUCUCACUUCAUCACUUCCCAUGUGCAUCGACGGUUAACGGAUCAUUUUUAUUUGUUAAUGGAUAUCGCAAUCUGCAUCUACCAUUUUAUUCCAUCUUCUCACAAAGUCGUAACUCUGUUGACAAUUUGUAUCUUAGUGGUGGUAGAAAAUUGAUAGAUUAAUGUUUAGGAUUUGAUCUUCCAAUUCACAUACGAAUACGGGUGUUUAAUUGUUUAUAUUUUAUGAAGCUAAACAAUUAAAGAACUGAUUUGAGAUUGUUA